UGAAAAUGUAGUUAGGUCUAUGAUAGUUGCAUCUGUACUGCACAUGUACAGACUUUUUUUUCUGGUCAUUAUUCCCUAAACGAUGAGUAUAAUGACUAUUUACAUAGCAUUUACAUUGCUUCAUUUCAGUGAAGUGGUAGGGGUGUAAGUGUGACUGGAGUGGAUUCAAGAAACAAUAAGAGAAGAGACAAUAGCAACAGCCGAAGGUGCAGCUCUUCUUAUGGAGAUAGCAGAGACACAAGAGACCAAGCUCAACUACACAAGCAUAUUUCAUGUCUCUGCUUACGUCACAUCUGUCAUUAUCCCAUUGGCCAAGGAAAAGACUGUCUACCACGGCAAUAAAGUAUUUGUGCUCUCUGCAGCCAGACAAUUGAAGAAGAAACACUGACAAGCAUAUUGCUAUAUCAAUAAUGCACUGUCCUUCACAGACAAAAGGCACAGCUACUGACCCACCUCUAGUAAAGCGCAGGCCUUGAACUGUGUCGCCAGAGGUAAAAAGAGAAGACACAAAUUAUCUAACAGGCACAGUGGCUCACGCCUGUAAUCUGAGCAUUUUGGGAGGCCUGGGCAGGUGGAUCACUUGAGCCCAGGAGUUCGACAGCCACUUGAACAACAUGGCAAAACCCUGUCUCCACAAUGGCACACCAUGUUCUUCUCAGCCUCCAGAAUUAUGACCCUCACCAGAUGCCAACACCAUGCUCUUGGACUUGCCAGCCUCCAGAACCGAGAGUACAUCUAUUGUUUUCAACUAUAAGAAGACAUCCAAGAAACUUCAUAUCAUAGGAUCAUAGGACACUGGAGGAAAGGAACCCCUCAAAUCAUCUAAGCCUUCAAUUAAGUCCAUAGUUCAGACCCUGUAAACUGAGGAUGCCCAAGAGGGAUGCAGAAGAAACACUUGUGGACAAUGUGAUAUCUUACCCCAUCAACUGUGAUCAUCUUGACUUUAAUUCUGUACACUCAUGAAUCCCUUCAAAAAUAGAAUUUUAACUUUCUUUGUGCCUGUCUGACAGUGUCAGUGGUUUUACUCUUUGUUUCCUCUAGCAUAUUCUAUCAGCUCACUGGAGAGCCAAGCUGGGUUGUGGCCAAAAUCAUAGCAUCAACUUUUUAUGUUCUACAAGCAAGAGUCUCUGACACAGGUAGCAUAAAUAAUGCUCCCCAUAGCUCCUGCUGAGCUAGGGCUUUUCUGAAUUAUCUCUCAUGCCCUUCUUUCCACUCUUCGUCCAUGCAGUAUGUCGCAAGCUUCCCCCAGCCCCAUUACAAAGGGCCCCAUUGCAGGUGUAGUAGCUCUAAACCUACUGUUUACACCACAGGAAACCAAAGAAGUAGAUCUGUCUUGCUACAUUUUUCACCCACUUAAGUAAGCUGAGUCACUCCAUAUUGGCUCAGAACCCACUGCACAGUAAAGAGGAGAAACUGGGACGUUAUGGCCUCUUCUACCUCUCUGAAUUUUUCUCACAGUGCAGACCUCAGAGGGAAGAGCUUUUCUCCUUACACUUUUGAUUCUCCAAGCCUGGAUUCUGAUAUGCUAAAAAGGAGAUUUGGGUAGUUAGAAAAAUCUUCUCCUAAUAAUGUAUAGCUUUCAAAAUAUUUUCCUGGGAUAGAAUUCUAUUUUAAAUGUCAAAAGCUAAAAGUUAUUUAUUUAUUUAUUUUUUUUUUUUAGAGACAGACUCUGGCUCUGUCACCCAAGUUGGAGUGCAGUGGCACCAUCUCAGCUCACUGCAACCUCCAUCUCCCAGGUUCAAGAGAUUCUCAUGCCUCAGCCUCUUGAGUAGCUGCUAUUACAGGCAUGCACCACCAUACCUGGCUAUUUUUUUUUCUAUUUUUAGUAGAAACGGGAUUUCACUGUGCUGACAAGGCUGUUCUCAAACUCCUGACCUCAAGUGAUCUGCCCACCUCAGUCUCCCAAAGUGUUUUCUUUCAUUUCUUAUUCUCCAUCUGAUUUCCUUAGAAGUAAAUGGAUGUCUUAAG
rnacentral:lncRNA from 10 species